rnacentral:rRNA from 1 species
GACGAACGCUGGCGGCGUGCUUAACACAUGCAAGUCGAACGGUGAAGCUCCAGCUUGCUGGAGUGGAUCAGUGGCGAACGGGUGAGUAACACGUGAGCAACCUGCCCCUGACUCUGGAAUAAGCGCUGGAAACGGCGUCUAAUACUGGAUACGAGAAGGGUCCGCAUGGGCACUUUCUGGAAAGUUUGUCGGUUGGGGUUGGGCUCGCGGCCUAUCAGCUUGUUGGUGAGGUAAUGGCUCACCAAGGCGACGACGGGUAGCCGGCCUGAGAGGGCGACCGGCCACACUGGGACUGAGACACGGACCAGACUCCUACGGGAGGCAGCAGUGGGGAAUAUUGCACAAUGGGCGAAAGCCUGAUGCAGAGACGCCGCGUGAGGGAUGACGGCCUUCGGGUUGUAAAACUCUUUCAGCAGGGAAGAAGCGAAAGUGACGGUACCUGCAGAAGAAGCACCGGCUAACUACGUG